GACGAACGCUGGCGGCGUGCUUAAUACAUGCAAGUCGAACGAUGAAGCCCAGCUUGCUGGGUGGAUUAGUGGCGAACGGGUGAGUAACACGUGGGCAACCUGCCCCAAACUCUGGGAUAACUCCUCGAAAGAGGUGCUAAUACCGGAUACGAACUAGACAGACAUCUGUACUAGUUGGAAAGUUUUUCGGUUUGGGAUGGGCCCGCGGCCUAUCAGCUUGUUGGUGAGGUAACGGCUCACCAAGGCUACGACGGGUAACCGGCCUGAGAGGGCGACCGGUCACACUGGGACUGAGACACGGCCCAGACUCCUACGGGAGGCAGCAGUGGGGAAUAUCGCGCAAUGGGCGAAAGCCUGACGCAGCGACGCCGCGUGAGGGAUGAAGGUCUUCGGAUCGUAAACCUCUUUCAGUAGGGACGAAGCGAAAGUGACGGUACCUAAAGAAGAAGCACCGGCUAACUACGUGCCAGCCGCCGCCGUAA
rnacentral:rRNA from 1 species